ACACCUGUAAUCCGGACUGCAAGAUACAGAGCGCGGCCUCCACACCAGCCCGGGCUGCCGGAAGCUGUGCUGAAAAUGGGCGUGUUUCCUCAGAAAAAACGCCCCUUCCCUUCCUCUUUUCGUCUUUUAUGCUAAAGAAACCGAAAGUUGCUGAAGGUACUGAAAGGAAGUGGAUACUCUAGGGGUUAUUUUCUGUUUUUCCAUUGCCAUCUGUCGCUGCCGACGUGAUAACGAUACAGAUCACGUUAGUAAGGAACUACUGGAAAAGCAAAGUAAAACAAGAAUGGCUGAGUGGGAAAUACAGCAACAUUCACUCAUAGAACAACUUGCCAGAGAAAAGCAUGUAUCCAAUGGAUGCUGACACAUGGGGAGAAAUCCUGGAAGCAGAACUAGAGAUGAGAAGCUGCUGAUUGCAACUGAAGAACCUUCCAUCAACACAUGGGCUGCCAGCCUGCACAUAACUCUGCUGUUUAAAUUAGUUGUAUUUGCAAGCAUACAAAGAAAGCUUUGCAAAGAAAACACGUGCUGAUAACUUUUUACUUGCACUUGAUAACAGAUUGACCAAUAUAAAAAGGGAAAUGCUAAAUAAGACCCGCAGUCUUAUUCGGUAUUCACUUGUAAUUUCAUAUUUGUAAAUUUAACCUGCUGCUGUAUUAUAUAAGUUUGCACUUUUUUAAAGAGACUUGUAAAUAUAAGUGUUUGGUUCAAUGUA